UUCUCUGUAGAGUCUGCAUAUCAAUAAGCGGAGGAAAAGGAAACUAACUAGGAUUCCCUUAGUAACGGCGAGUGAAGCGGGAAGAGCUCAAAUUUGAAAUCUUCAAGGUUUUACCUUGACGAAUUGUAGUUUAAAGAAGUGUUUUCUGUUGGUGUUUUGGUAAAAGUUCUUUGGAAUAGGACAUCAUAGAGGGUGAGAAUCCCGUAUUUGACCAUUAUUUCCAGCUUUGUGAUACACUUUCAAAGAGUCGGAUUGUUUGGGAAUGCAGUCCAAAAUGGGUGGUAAAUUUCAUCUAAAGCUAAAUACUGGCGAGAGACCGAUAGCGAACAAGUACCGUGAGGGAAAGAUGAAAAGAACUUUGAAAAGAGAGUUAAACAGUACGUGAAAUUGUCAAAAGGGAAGCGUUUGACACCAGUGUUGUUUUCCUCGAAAAUCAAUUAAAAAAAGUUGGAUUUUGUAUUGUUAAGACCUUAUCAGCUUACUGUACUCUUUUCUUGCUUUUUUUAAUGCACUUCUCGUUUAACAAGUCAACAUCAAUUUCUUUUGUUGUAAAAGAGUCAUUGGAAGGUGACUUUCACUUCGGUGAAAGUGUUUAUAGCCUUUGGCUUCUGCAAUCGGAGAGAUUGAGGUCUGCAGCGUAGAUCCUUCGGGGCUAGAUACGUAGAUGCUAAGUUAUAGCUUUUUAUAGACAACUUGUUGACUAUGAUUAAGUCAUGUAGCUUACUCGCUUAUGCCUAUUUUACCUACGCUUAGGAUGUUGAAGAUGUAGCACAUCAU
rnacentral:rRNA from 1 species